rnacentral:rRNA from 1 species
GUGGGGAAUUUUGGACAAUGGGCGCAAGCCUGAUCCAGCAAUGCCGCGUGUGUGAAGAAGGCCUUCGGGUUGUAAAGCACUUUUGGCAGGAAAGAAAUAGCGCGUGCUAAUACCAUGCGCGAAUGACGGUACCUGCAGAAUAAGCACCGGCUAACUACGUGCCAGCAGCCGCGGUAAGACGUAGGGUGCAAGCGUUAAUCGGAAUUACUGGGCGUAAAGCGUGCGCAGGCGGUUUUGUAAGACAGGUGUGAAAUCCCCGGGCUCAACCUGGGAACUGCACUUGUGACUGCAAGGCUAGAGUGUGUCAGAGGGAGGUGGAAUUCCGCGUGUAGCAGUGAAAUGCGUAGAGAUGCGGAGGAACACCGAUGGCGAAGGCAGCCUCCUGGGAUAACACUGACGCUCAGGCACGAAAGCGUGGGGAGCAAACAGGAUUAGAAACCCGUGUAGUCC